rnacentral:rRNA from 1 species
AUAUUGGUCAAUGGGCGGAAGCCUGAACCAGCCAUGCCGCGUGCGGGAAGGAGGCCCUAUGGGCUGUGAACCGCUUUUGCCUGGGGGCAAUAAGGGCGUCGCGCACGUCCGAUGAGAGUACCAGGCGAAUAAGCAUCGGCUAACUCCGUGCCAGCAGCCGCGGUAAUACGGGGGAUGCGAGCGUUAUCCGGAUUCAUUGGGUUUAAAGGGUGCGUAGGCUGUGCGUCAAGUCGGGGGUGAAAUUCCGGUGCUCAACACCGGGGCUGCCCUUGAUACUGUCGCGCUGGAGUGCGGAUGCCGCCGGAGGAAUGAGUGGUGUAGCGGUGAAAUGCUUAGAUAUCACUCAGAACACCGAUUGCGAAGGCAUCUGGCGAAUCCGUAACUGACGCUGAGGCACGAAAGCGUGGGGAUAGAACAGGAUUAGAUACCCUGGUAUUCCACGCCGUAAACGAUGAUGGCUAACCGCCGGCGACACACUGUCGGUGGCCAAGCGAAAGCGAUAAGCCAUCCACCUGGGGAGUACGUCGGCAACGAUGAAACUCAAAGGAAUUGACGGGGGCCCGCACAAGCGGAGGAACAUGUGGGUUAAUUCGAUGAUACGCGAGGAACCUUACCCGGGCUCGAACGGCACCUGGAUCGCCCAGAGAUGGGCGAGUCUUCGGACAGGUGUCGAGGUGCUGCAUGGUUGUCGUCAGCUCGUGCCGUGAGGUGUCGGCUCAAGUGCCAUAACGAGCGCAACCCUUGCCGCCAGUUGCCAUCAGGUGAUGCUGGGCACUCUGGCGGGACUGCCACCGCAAGGUGUGAGGAGGGGGGGGAUGACGUCAAAUCAGCACGGCCCUUACGUCCG